GAGGGUGAGGCCUGCCCAAUGGUUGUAUCUAAAAGCGGUUGAUAAAAGUCGACCUCGUAAGGACAAUUGAAUGGCCGCGGUAACACUGACCGUGAUAAUGUAGCGUAAUCAAUAGCCAAUUAAUUGUUGGCCAGUAUGAAUGGCGCCACGAAGGCCCCACUGUCUUAAGGAAAUUCCCAGUGAAAUUGAAUUCGUAGUGAAGAUGCUACGUCCAAUUUGUUAGACGAAAAGACCCCGUUGAGCUUUACUGGGGCACUUACACGGCCCCGGCCUUCCAAACUAGGCUUACGAUGCCUAGGGAUUGGCCGAAUUUAAAUGGGCGGUUUAGACUAUGUGGCAGCCCCCCGUCGGGGCAGAUGAAACCCCACUCCCCCAUGUCAAAGGGGCUAACCCCCCCCUUGGGGGGGACAGUGUAAGUAGGACAGUUUGGUUGGGGCGACCGCCUUUUAAAGAGUAACGAAGGUGCGCUUAAGGUGCGCAAAUAAUGACUGAAGCCUGACUGCGAGGGUGACACCCCGAGCAGACACCCUCAAGCCCGCCCGAAGGGCGGCGGCGGGGUGG
rnacentral:rRNA from 1 species